GCCUGGGUGGCUCAGUUGGUUAAAGCGUCUGACUUCAGCUCAGGUCAAGAUCGCAGGGUCCGUGAGUUCGAGCCCCGUGUUGGGCU
rnacentral:tRNA from 1 species